GGAGGGGACCCGGCUGGAUGAGGAGCUUGUCUUGAAAACAAGUGGGCCGCAAGGCUUUGUGGGUUCGAGUCCCACCCCCUCCGCCU
rnacentral:tRNA from 2 species